AAAAACAUAGACCUGAAUGGCAUCAUCUAGUAUCCAAGGAAACCAUUCUGAUCUUUUGCAGAAACUCACCCCUCUUCUCAAAGUCAGGAAAACCUCUUCGGAGUUGUCAUUGGACUAAGGAGCAUGUCCUGACUCCAGAUCAAUGUGUUACUGGAAUAUUUACUGGGAAGAACUCAUUCUUAGCAUUUCUAUUUGACCUGAGUCUCCCUGAAAUAGGAUCACAAGGUAUGUGUAUAGAUAGCUUUGAUCUGUGUCCUUGACCUUGAUCAGCGU
rnacentral:lncRNA from 1 species